rnacentral:rRNA from 1 species
GACGAACGCUGGCGGCGUGCUUAACACAUGCAAGUCGAACGGAAAGGCCCUGCUUUUGUGGGGUGCUCGAGUGGCGAACGGGUGAGUAACACGUGAGUAACCUGCCCUUGACUUUGGGAUAACUUCAGGAAACUGGGGCUCAUACCGGAUAGGAGCUCCUGCUGCAUGGUGGGGGUUGGAAAGUUUCGGCGGUUGGGGAUGGACUCGCGGCUUAUCAGCUUGUUGGUGGGGUAGUGGCUUACCAAGGCUUUGACGGGUAGCCGGCCUGAGAGGGUGACCGGCCACAUUGGGACUGAGAGACGGCCCAGACUCCUACGGGAGGCAGCAGUGGGGAAUAUUGCACAAUGGGCGGAAGCCUGAUGCAGCAACGCCGCGUGCGGGAUGACGGCUUUCGGGUUGUAAACCGCUUUCGCCUGUGACGAAGCGUGAGUGACGGUAAUGGGUAAAGAAGCACCGGCUAACUACGUG